rnacentral:rRNA from 1 species
UACAGAGGGUGCGAGCGUUAAUCGGAAUUACUGGGCGUAAAGCGCACGUAGGUGGCGACGUAAGUCGGGUGUGAAAGCCCCGGGCUCAACCUGGGAAUUGCAUUCGAGACUGCAUUGCUGGAGUACGGAAGAGGAAGGCGGAAUUCCCGGUGUAGCGGUGAAAUGCGUAGAUAUCUGGAGGAACACCGGUGGCGAAGGCGGCAUCCUGGACCGAGAUUGACGCUGAUGCGCGAAAGCCAGGGGAGCAAACGGG